rnacentral:rRNA from 1 species
UUCUACGGGGGGCAGCAGUAGGGAAUCUUCCACAAUGGGCGAAAGCCUGAUGGAGCAACGCCGCGUGGGUGAAGAAGGUCUUCGGAUCGUAAAACCCUGUUGUUAGAGAAGAAAGUGCGUGAGAGUAACUGUUCACGUUUCGACGGUAUCUAACCAGAAAGCCACGGCUAACUACGUGCCAGCAGCCGCGGUAAUACGUAGGUGGCAAGCGUUAUCCGGAUUUAUUGGGCGUAAAGGGAGCGCAGGCGGCUUGGCAAGUCUGAUGUGAAAGGCUGGGGCUCAACCCCAGGACUGCAUUGGAAACU